rnacentral:rRNA from 1 species
UACGGGGGGAGCAAGCGUUGUUCGGAUUUACUGGGCGUAAAGGGCGCGUAGGCGGCGCAACAAGUCACUUGUGAAAUCUCCGGGCUUAACCCGGAGCGGUCAAGUGAUACUGUCGUGCUAGAGUGCGGAAGGGGCUACUGGAAUUCCUGGUGUAGCGGUGAAAUGCGCAGAUAUCAGGAGGAACACCGGUGGCGAAGGCGGGUCUCUGGGCAACAACUGACGCUGAGGAGCGAAAGCGUGGGGAGCGAACAGG